rnacentral:rRNA from 1 species
CUACGGGCCGCAGCAGUCGAGAAUCUUCGGCAAUGGGCGAAAGCCUGACCGAGCGACGCCGCGUGCGGGAUGAAGGCCUUCGGGUUGUAAACCGCUGUCAGAGGGGAUGAAAUGCAUGGGGGUACUCCCUCGUGUUUGACAUAUCCUCAGAGGAAGGACGGGCUAAGUUUGUGCCAGCAGCCGCGGUAAGACGAACCGUCCAAACGUUAUUCGGAAUCACUGGGCUUAAAGGGUGCGUAGGCGGUCCGGAAAGUUGGGUGUGAAAUCCCUCGGCUCAACCGAGGAAUUGCGCCCAAAACUACCGGGCUAGAGGGAGGCAGAGGUGAGCGGAACUUGCGGUGGAGCGGUGAAAUGCGUUGAUAUCGCAAGGAACACCAGUAGCGAAAGCGGCUCACUGGGCCUCUUCUGACGCUCAGGCACGAAAGCUGGGGGAGCGAACGGGAUUAGAUACCCGUGUAGUC